ACUUAUAAUAUAUUAUAGUCUUUUGAAUCCACCAUAAACUGAUCUUAUAACAGUUCCAAUGGAGGAAAUCAAUCAACACAUCACUACAUUCACUAUCUCUCAUCUCUGGAGGAAUUGCAAACAUCAACGAGGAACACCAAGAGACCGCUACACAAAUGAUGGAGAUAUACAAUAAAAGACUAGCAAGGCUAAUAUUAGAUCAUGGACGCCAUCUUAUGUCUAUCUAUGUCGUUUGCUCGAAAGUUUUGAAAUUCUAUAUCAUAUUGAUUUGAAACAAACUAUGUUUCUAAAUGAUUUUCUCUUAUACUACAUUAAAUAUAUCGUAUUAAUUUUGUCUUUUAACUCUAUGUUUUCUUUCAUGAUUUAAUUAUUAGUUUUAGAGGUUGCACCAUGAAUUCCUUUUAGAGUUUUUUUUUUUCUUUCUUCUUUUCAGUA
rnacentral:lncRNA from 1 species